rnacentral:rRNA from 1 species
AGCGAACGUUGGCGGCGUGCUUAACACAUGCAAGUCUUGGGAGAAAGUUUUCUUCGGAAAACAAGUAAACCGGCGCACGGGUGAGUAACACGUGAGUAACCAACCCCCCAGUCUGGAAUAACUCGCCGAAAGGCGUGCUAAUGCCGGAUGGUUAGCUAUCUCCUGCGGGUGAUAUCUAUAAAGACGGUUCUGCUGUCGCUGGGGGACGGGCUCGCGUUCCAUUAGCUAGUUGGUAAGGUAACGGCUUACCAAGGCUACGAUGGAUAGCUGGUCUGAGAGGAUGAUCAGUCACACUGGCACUGAAACACGGGCCAG